rnacentral:rRNA from 1 species
AUUGAACGCUGGCGGCAGGCUUAACACAUGCAAGUCGAGCGAGCGGCGGACGGGUGAGUAAUGUCUGGGAAACUGCCUGCUGGAGGGGGAUAACUACUGGAAACGGUAGCUAAUACCGCAUACCAUCAGAUGUGCCCAGAUGGGUUUAGCUAGUAGGUGGGGUAAUGGCUCACCUAGGCGACGAUCCCUAGCUGGUCUGAGAGGAUGAACAGCCACACGUGAACUGGGACACGGUCCGGACUCCGACGGGAGGCAGCAAUGGGGAAUAAUGCACAAUGGGCGAAAGCCUGAGGCAGCGACGCCGCGUAAGUGAAGAAGGCGUUCGGUUUGUAAAGCAGUUUCAGCGAGGAGGCGUUAGUCGCAGAAGAAGCACCGGCUAACUCCUUGCCAGCAGCCGCGGGAGAUC